rnacentral:rRNA from 1 species
UCAAUAGCCUAACGGCUGAACCAGCAACUUGUAAGAAUGUAUAGCGAAAGCUAACUGUAUUAACUAAUAGUUAGUAUAGUAUCGACUAUGUCGACUAAAAUUCUGGGUAGAGUAUUGAUAAUGACAUUAUCUGCUCAUAAGUCUUGACCAAAUCACGUGCCAGCAGUCGCGGCAAUACGUGGAAGACUAGUGUUAUUCAUCUUUAAUAGGUUUAAAGGGUACCUAGACGGUAGAUCUAGCCCCAAAGGGUACAGAUAUACUAGAGUUUGAUGAGAGGGGGGGAGUACUAGCGGAGUAGAGAUGAAAUUUUUUGAUACCGAUACAUGAGACAGGUAUAGGCGAAAGCAACCCCUUAUGUAAAAA